CACGCCGUAAACGAUGGGCACUAGGUGCUUGGGGGAGCGACCCCCUGAGUGCCGGCGCUAACGCAUUAAGUGCCCCGCCUGGGGAGUACGGCCGCAAGGCUGAAACUCAAAGGAAUUGACGGGGGCCCGCACAAGCGGUGGAGCAUGUGGUUUAAUUCGACGCAACGCGAAGAACCUUACCUGGGCUUGACAUCUUGGGGAAAGGCUCGAGAAACCGAGUCCCCUCUUCGGAGUCCCAGGACAGGUGCUGCAUGGCUGUCGUCAGCUCGUGUCGUGAGAUGUUGGGUUAAGUCCCGCAACGAGCGCAACCCCCGCUCCCAGUUGCUACCGGGUCAUGCCGAGGACUCUGGGAGGACUGCCGGUGCCAAACCGGAGGAAGGUGGGGACGAC
rnacentral:rRNA from 1 species